rnacentral:rRNA from 1 species
GAUGAACGCUGGCGGCGUGCCUAAUACAUGCAAGUCGAGCGAACAGACGAGGAGCUUGCUCCUCUGACGUUAGCGGCGGACGGGUGAGUAACACGUGGAUAACCUACCUAUAAGACUGGGAUAACUUCGGGAAACCGGAGCUAAUACCGGAUAACAUGUUGAACCGCAUGGUUCAACAGUGGAAGACGGUCUUGCUGUCACUUAUAGAUGGAUCCGCGCCGCAUUAGCUAGUUGGUAAGGUAACGGCUUACCAAGGCAACGAUGCGUAGCCGACCUGAGAGGGUGAUCGGCCACACUGGAACUGAGACACGGUCCAGACUCCUACGGGGGGCAGCAGUAGGGAAUCUUCCGCAAUGGGCGAAAGCCUGACGGAGCAACGCCGCGUGAGUGAAGAAGGUCUUCGGAUCGUAAAACUCUGUUAUUAGGGAAGAACAAAUGUGUAAGUAACUAUGCACGUCUUGACGGUACCUAAUCAGAAAGCCACGGCUAACUACGUG